rnacentral:rRNA from 1 species
UGCAAGCCGAGCGGUAUUGUUUCUUCGGAAAUGAGAGAGCGGCGUACGGGUGCGGAACACGUGUGCAACCUGCCUUUAUCUGGGGGAUAGCCUUUCGAAAGGAAGAUUAAUACUCCAUAACAUAUUGAACGGCAUCGUUUGAUAUUGAAAGCUUCGGCGGAUAGAGAUGGGCACGCGCAAGAUUAGCUAGUUGGUGAGGUAACGGCUCACCAAGGCGAUGAUCUUUAGGGGGCCUGAGAGGGUGAUCCCCCACACUGGUACUGAGACACGGACCAGACUCCUACGGGAGGCAGCAGUGAGGAAUAUUGGUCAAUGGGUGCAAGCCUGAACCAGCCAUCCCGCGUGAAGGACGACUGCCCUAUGGGUUGUAAACUUCUUUUGUAUAGGGAUAAACCUACUCUCGUGAGGGUAGCUGAAGGUACUAUACGAAUAAGCACCGGCUAACUCCGUGCCAGCAGCCGCGGUAAUACGGAGGGUGCAAGCGUUAUCCGGAUUUAUUGGGUUUAAAGGGUCCGUAGGCGGACUUAUAAGUCAGUGGUGAAAGCCUGUCGCUUAACGAUAGAACUGCCAUUGAUACUGUAAGUCUUGAGUAUAUUUGAGGUAGCUGGAAUAAGUAGUGUAGCGGUGAAAUGCAUAGAUAUUACUUAGAACACCAAUUGCGAAGGCAGGUUACCAAGAUAUAACUGACGCUGAGGGACGA